AUGCUUGGCCAUCUCCGGCGAUCCUCCGGCAUUCUGCGCCGCCUACCGAUCGCCAGCUUCGCUCCCUCCGACCCUGCCACUGCAUACUCGGGAUGGAGUUUACACGCCGAGUCACUCUCGUUUGUUUCAUGUUGGUGCGGCAAGCAUGCUACCAGGAAUUUCUCUACAGAUGAUAAAGUUACCAAUGGUCGUCGAGGGUAUCGGCAAAAGGAGUUGAAGAAGCCAAGUACGGCCGUGAAGGAUAAUGAUGCAAUCAUUGAUCGCAUACAAAAGAGCACAAGGGGGUUGAAAAAAGGGCCGGUUGGGCACACCCUUUCAUCAGCAGAAAAAAGGAAAUUCCUUACCAACACUCUUCUUGAUCUUGAAGACUCAAAAGAAGCUGUUUACAGCACCCUUGAUGCAUGGAUCGCCUUUGAGCAGGACUUUCCACUCGCCUCAUUAAAGCAAGCAAUUGUAGCUCUUGAAAAGGAGGAACAAUGGCAUAGAAUUGUCCAAGUAAUAAAAUGGAUGUUGAGCAAAGGGCAAGGAAAUACCAUCAGAACAUACGAGCAAUUAGUGCGUGCACUUGAGAAGGACAACAGAGCAGAGGAAGCACAUAAAAUUUGGGAGAAGAAAAUAGCCCAUGACCUGCAUUCAGUUCCUUGGCGUUUCUGCGGUCUUAUGUUGGCAAUUUACUACAGAAACAAUAUGCUAGAUAGGCUUAUCAAGCUUUUCGGUGCCCUUGAAGCAUGUGGUCGCAAGUGUCCUAGUAAAGAAUAUAUACGGAAAGUUGAAGUUGCAUAUGAAAUGCUUGGUCUAUUAGAAGAGAAGAAGGAUUUGCUUGAAAAGUACAAGGAUUUGUACAAUAAGCCAUCAAAUAGUGAUAGAAAGAAAGAUCGACGGUUCAAGAAGGCUGAGAAGAAAGCUGCUGAUGAUGGCAGCAAACAAUUGGAGAUGGAAACAUCUGAAAACUUACCAGUUAAUUCAUGCCCUUCAGAUAAGGAACUGGUUGCCAGCAGUGUCAAGAUAAGAAAUACAACACCGAUGGUGAGAUCAGUAUCAGACAAGAACGUGAUGCAGCUAGUAAUCUGUACCAGUAACACUUACUGGGCCAGCCAAUAG
rnacentral:rRNA from 1 species